GCACGUGAGGGUGAUCAGACCAUGAUAUCUGUCACCUUAUUGAUCACCACGGCUAAUUUGGCUAAUACCAAUGGCUUGGUGGGUUUCCAUUUCUUUUCUCACCAAUCCAUGUGAGCAUCACCCUCAUGAAAGAAGCUAUGUGCUGAGUAGAGGAGAACGGCUUUCCCCAAUAACGGGGUCCAGUUUUCCAUCCAGGUUAAAAGAAUAACUGUACUCCCCCACUAGAAUACACUAAACAAGCCACCAAGAUUCAUUUAAGAAUGUAUUCCUUACUAAUAUCCCAAAAUUGUGAGGUUCUAUACAAGGACCAUAUCGA
rnacentral:snRNA from 1 species